CAUAUUUUGCCUUCACAGUGCGUGGUCAAAGAAACAAUCAUUAUGUCUUAAUCAUUCAUUAAUCGCUAUCCUUUUCAAGACUUGGUCCACCCGAUGUCCCUUUAUUUGAUUCCAUCAUAGAAUUGGGCCAUUGAGUUCUUUUUGCUCCCGUGGUCUCCACAUUGUGAAACUCAACUGCUCUGAAUAUGCUAUGCAUCCUCCUUUAUGUACUACUGUCUGCUGAUGACCAUAGGCCCAUAACUUAUUUAAUGAGCAUAUGUGAUGUCCAGCUCAUGUAUUUUUUGAAUCAGUGCAACUCAUAUUUCUAUUACGGAGUAAACAAUAUAUGAUGCUUACUGCCAAGUCCAUGAUUACCUCCAUUAUCUUAUUGAUUAGGUCGUAUUUGAAAAAUCUUAUUGAUUCGGUGAUCAGCUGUUGAUUUAGCUAUAGUCAGACUAUUUCAUAGAUCACCAACUACUUACUUUAUUUUGUCAAUCUGGAACAGUGGGAUUUCCGUGUAGGGGAAAAAUCUCAAAGGGUUGUUUGCAUGCAGUUUUGGUCAGAAUGUUGCUUCACGGUCCGUUAAUUGGUUGCUUGCAGCUCUGGUCUAUGUAUUAAUAUGUAGAUGCAAAAUAAUUGCAUAUACUACUGGUUUCCCCUUUUGUAUCCAUUCUCCCUUCAGAGAGUUUCAUCUGAUUGUGGUUAUGCGGCAUCGACCGCAGGCAUACAAAUUUGAAACCUUUAGGGUACCCUUGGACCCUCCUUAGUUCAAUCAAAUGAACUAAAAUUUCGAAAGUAAUGUAAAUUCUGAAAAAUUAGUUCAUUUAGUUGAACUAAGAAGGGCCGGAGGGUAGGCUCAAGGUUCCAAAUUUGCAUCCCUGAUCGACCGAAUUACAUCUGAUAAUAAAUGCACACCGAACCGAAAAUUGGCCCCAUUCUGGAUUACUACUAAAUGCUGUGGUCUUGCAUUGUUGCUUGCCCAGAUCUACUUUGUGUGAUCAUGUGGUUUACAUGUCUGUCCUGGAUUCUUUUCUGGUUUUUUGGGACACUUGUAGUGAUGUGGGCUCUGACGCUCUCUUGUGGUCCAGCGCUAUGAUGGUCGUGGUGUGACAUGUUGGAAAGAUUUUCUCAACUUUGUGCGGUAUCGUUGCCUGUAAAGAUGGUUCACAGGAACAUCGUGCUGCUUCCUUCAGUUGCCAAGGAAUAUGCUCCCUCUGCAUCCGUUUUUCGACAUCUUUCUGUUGGCAAUUCCUGUGGGAACUUUGCUCCUCGGAGUAAAUCUGUCCCCCCUUAUUAUAUGACGAUGCUUCCAGACCUCAAUAUGAGCUUCUCAAAAAGGUAGAAGAUGAUUUCACACGGUGUCCUCUGAAGCUGGUAUCUCAAUGGAAGCCCGCCAGUCAAAAAUUGAAGUUGGGUCGGAGUUGAGCUACAAAUUUGGCAUCUCUAGUCUUUGGCCUCAAUAGAUAUGCAUCUCGAUCUGUUUAUGUGUUGUUUGUGCUAGAAAUUCGUGAUACUGUGAAACGUUCUAUCUUUGAUGUGGUUGGAGGCUGAAUUUGGAGUUUCGAAUUUGCAACCUGAAUUCGGGCACAAUAUUGGCAACUGAACUGUUUGCAUGCUUUUGCCUACCUCCGCUAGCUAGGAUGUGAAUUUGCAAUAAAUUUGGAGUUCCGAAUUAAA